rnacentral:rRNA from 1 species
AUUGAACGCUGGCGGCAGGCUUAACACAUGCAAGUCGAGCGGAGAGAGGUAGCUUGCUACCGAUCUUAGCGGCGGACGGGUGAGUAAUGCUCAGGAAUCUGCCUAUUAGUGGGGGACAACAUUUCGAAAGGAAUGCUAAUACCGCAUACGUCCUACGGGAGAAAGCAGGGGAUCUUCGGACCUUGCGCUAAUAGAUGAGCCUAAGUCGGAUUAGCUAGUUGGUGGGGUAAAGGCCUACCAAGGCGACGAUCUGUAGCGGGUCUGAGAGGAUGAUCCGCCACACUGGGACUGAGACACGGCCCAGACUCCUACGGGAGGCAGCAGUGGGGAAUAUUGGACAAUGGGCGGAAGCCUGAUCCAGCCAUGCCGCGUGUGUGAAGAAGGCCUUAUGGUUGUAAAGCACUUUAAGCGAGGAGGAGGCCACUUUAGUUAAUACCUAGAGAUAGUGGACGUUACUCGCAGAAUAAGCACCGGCUAACUCUGUGCCAGCCGCCGCCGUAAGAC